rnacentral:lncRNA from 1 species
UGCCUCCCCCCUCCCCACCCCCAGAUCCUCCUGCGGCUCCUCCCACACCCCAAAAUCCCGGGAAGGGCUGGAGUGACGUCAUUCCCACCCCACCACCAUCCCAAAAUCUUCCCGGGCAGGGCGCCUGUUCCUGCUUUCAAUCCCAUUCCCAAUUCCAGCCCCAUUCCCAAUUCCAGCCCCAUUCCCAAUCCCAAUCCCAUUCCCAGUUCAAAUCCCAAUUCCAGCCCCAUUCCCAAUUCCAGUCUCAUUCCCGAUUCCAGUCUCAUUCCAGAUUAAUUCCAGCCCCACAUUCCAGACCCCAGCCCCUCUUUCCAUGUUCCAUCCUCAUAUUCCAUGUUCCAACCACUCCUUUCCUGCAGGGCACACCCCCGUCCCAGUUCCCAUCCCCCAUCCCAGUUCCCAUUUCCAUUUCCCAGUUCCCAUUUCCCAGUUCCCAGUUCCCAUUUCCCCUCUCCCACCCCGUUUCCCAUUUCCCAUCCCAGUUUCCCGCCCCCCUUUCCUGCAGGUGUGGCCCCAUUCCAGCUUCCCACCUUUUUUCCAUGUUCCAGAUCCUCAUCCCAGCUCCCAGAUCCUUUCCAGAUUCCAGCCCCAUUCCCAAUUCCAACCCCAUUCCCACUUCCAAUCCCAUUCCCACUCCCAAUCCCAUUCCCAGUUCCAAUCCCAUUCCGGAUUCCAAUCCCAUUCCGGAUUCCAAUCCCAUUCCCAAUUCCAGCCCCAUUCCCACUCCCAAUCCCAUUCCCAGUUCCAGCCCUAUUCCCAUUUCCAGCCCCAUUCCUAAUUCCAAUCCCAUUCCCAAUUCCAAUCCCAUUCCCGAUUCCAAUCCCAUUCCCAAUUCCACCCCAUUACGAUUCCAAUCCCAUUCCCAUUCCCAAUUCCAAUCCCAAUCCUGCCUGUGAUCCCCCCUAUUCCAGCUUCCAGCCUCUAAUUCCAUGUUCUAGCCCCCAUUCCAGGUUCCAUCCCCCCAUUCCAGCUUUUCCAUCCCCCCAUUCCAGCUUUUCCAGCCCCAUUUCCAUGUUCCAGCCCCCCUUUCCCAGCCCCCUUUCCCUCAGGCCACCGGGAUGUUCCCGGGAGAGUUUUCCUGCCUCCCUCUCCAGCUUUUCCAGCCCCAAUUCCCACAGGAUUCCCGUUUCCAACCCCUUUUCCUUCCCACCAUCCCCUUUUCCCAGCUUUUCCAGCCCCAAUUCCCACGGGAGAAUUCCCGUUUCCUUCCCCCCAUCCCAUUUUUCCAGCUCCCGUUCUCCCAGCCUGCUGCGCUUCCUCGUCCUCCAAAUCCCGGGAUUUGGCCCCGCUCCACAACGGAAUUCCCGGGAAUGGGAAGGGCUGGGGGAGAGGGAGGGUGGUAGCGGCGA